AGAGUUUGAUCAUGGCUCAGGAUGAACGCUAGCGGCAGGCUUAACACAUGCAAGUCGAGGGGCAGCGGGGUGUAGCAAUACACUGCCGGCGACCGGCGCACGGGUGCGUAACGCGUAUGCAACCUACCCAUAACAGGGGCAUAACACGUGAGAAAUUGGUACUAAUUCCCCAUAACACUCGAAGAGGCAUCUCUUUGGGUUGAAAACUCCGGUGGUUAUGGAUGGGCAUGCG
rnacentral:rRNA from 1 species